ensembl:lncRNA
AUGUAACUCCCUUGCUAACACUGGCAAGGGGGGGCACUCUCUGUCCCCAUCUGAUGUCUGUGUCACAGGCUUUCUCUGGCCCUCUUUAUCCUUUAAUAAAACUCUGCUACACAGAAGCUCUUGCGUGAUCAAGCCUGGCCCCUGGUCCCGAAGCUAAAUCUUCUUUGGAGAUGAAGAAUCCGACACCGUUCACCGUAAGCUAUCACCACCGGGAAGCAGAGGGGCAGAAGCCCCCUUGUUCUGCAUGGCAUCUGUGCUCACAGCCCAUCAUGUGGCCACCAGGGACCUGCAGGUGUGAUGUCUUUACAGUCCAAGGCCAGGAGCUCUGAGGCAUCCCGGGGAGGACCACUGAGGCCACUGGAAGGGGAAAUGGGGUGAUAACAGCAGCCAUCCUCAAUGCUCCACCCCAGGUGCUGUUAAACCUUGCACGCUCGUAAAGCUGGGGAAACUGUAAGGUGAAGUCACUUGCCCACAUCCAUGGAACAAGCCAAGGGCAGAGAUGGGACUCAGGUCUGUCACACUCCGGCAACUUCGGUGCGACUACCUAGGAAGAUGGUGGGGGCCGGGAGAGAAGUUCAAGCCCCGUCGUCCAUCACGCCAGCGCCAGAGGCCCAUGCAAGCCUUCUCCACACCCACUCGUUGAGAGCUUUUCAAAGCAAUAAGCGCGUCAUGCCGUGCCCCUUCCCUCCCCACUGCUGACACCCUCCUGUGGUUCCUUAAGGAGUGAAGUUGGUCCUCAGCAGCCUCUGGAGCCUCACCCCCACCUGUCCAGACGCCUUUGUAUUUUGUCCCCCAAACUGGCCCCUUCGCAGUUCCUUAAAAGCUCUACGACCAGGAAGCUGAGCCCCUUCUGAGCCCAGUUUCCCCAUGGUCAGAUGGGGCCAUGUUCCCCCCACCCCUUGGAGUCUGCUGUAGCAAGGACAGGGCGUGGAGAAUUCUGUGCAAACUGUAAAGUGCUGUGCCCCCAUUGUACGGGACAAAGGAGAGCAGACAAGGCCGGGCUGCCCGAGGAGGCUGGGCAUCUAGCCACUUGGGCCAUUGUCUAAGCAUCCCUAGCAUCUCCUGCCUCUCCUACCCCUUGCCCCUGUCCUCGUACUCCCUACUGUCCCCAGGGAACGUAGACCCACCCCCAGAUUUACUAGGGCAUGUUAAGAACAUGGUUUGAAGCCAUCUCUGAGGUCAUGAGGUCAUGGCAGUUUCCCAUCGAUCUAUUUGUCCCUCCCUUGGCUGGAGCCCUUUGCCCCUGCCAGUCCCCAAAGCCAUAUCAAACUUCAGCAACCUCCCCCAAGCCUCACUGCUCCCAAGCUAGGUCCCAAGGAGCCAAAACAUGGAGCAGGGCUUUAAAACACUGCCCCUGGGCGAUUUACCAGCUGGGCUGCCCAACCCCUGACCUCGGGAGGAGAUGUAAUGUAUCUCCCUGGUUUAGUUGGAUCAAUGGUGCUGUGGAAAACAGCCCCAAGUGGCUCAGUUAGGACAGCAGAGAGGGACUCCCCCCACCCCGGAAACCCCACCAUGACAGCCACUGAGCUGAGGUCUCCGUGCACGUGUGGGCGCAGGACAACCCCAGGCGUGUCCACCAAAGUGUUUCAGGCACGAGCCUUUAAGAGCUGGGGAUGGCUGAGUCCAGCCACCUAGGUUUCAGAUGGGGAAACUGAGGCUCAGAGGGCUCCUCAAGGUCACAGACCAAGUUCAAAGAGGUCUCUGAUUUUUCCUCUCCCUGCUCAGCACUUCUGCCAUCUCCUGUGGGCAAAGGUGGCUGUGCUGGCAUUUGGGGUGUCACUGGCACUUCAGAAGGCCAAGCUUGUCUCUCCUAAAACCUUCGAAUCAGACCACAAUGGAUCCAAGUGCCACCGGCAUGGAGUUCCCCACUCUUGACUCUACAUAUAGAAGUCAGACCCAAGGACAGUCUUCUGUCUCAGCUAAAACAGCCCUCCAAGGACAGAAGCCAGAGGCAUCAAGCCAGCCUGUGUUCAGACUCCUCACUCCCCGAGAGAAAACAGCGGCUUAUUUCAGGAGGAGGGUCACCAAAAGUUGGAGGCCCAGGAGGCCAAAUUUUCCUCAGUCAUCAUGGGACCCUUACAUCCAGCAGCAGGACCAGCAGGAAGUGGUUCUCCAACCCCCUACAUGAAGCAGAGUUCAGGGACCAAAAGGGUCACCUAGGAACUUACUAGAAAACAGAAUUAGGGGCACAUUUCCCUAGGAUGUCCUAAUCAGAAUUUGUAUUUUAACCAGGUCCUCAGCUGAUUUGCAUACAUGUUAAGGUAUGAGAGGUGCUGGUCUCAUAAAGUUAAAUAAGGAGGUUGGGAGGGGCGACAUGUGUACACGUUAAGAUCUUUACCCGGAAUAAAGAGCCUAAAGAUGAACAUAGAAGGGAGGGAAGAGGGGGGUUGGGGGAAGCGGGGAGGAUACCCUACCUGUGUCCAAAAGUAUUUGAAGUAACUUCAGAACAGCACAUAGCUAUUUAUUUAAAGAAACACAAAGUAGGGAAUUCCCUGGCAAUCCAGUGGUAGGACUCAGCAUUUUCACUGCCCUGGAGUUCAUCCCUGAUUGGGAAACUAAGAUCUUGCAAGCUGCAAACGUGGCGCAGCCAAACAAAGAAGAAAAACAAAAUAGAUUCCAUCUGCAAGAGGCAGGAGAGUGGUCCUGGAAGCAGUGAGACCGGGGUAGGCCCAGUUGGUGGCAGGGGGUAGGUUGGGCAGGACCCCAAUCACUCAGGGUCUCGUGCUACUAGAGGAUUCGGAUGAAGGGUGACAUGUUUCAAUUUAAAUUUUUGGAAAGAUGGUCACUUGAAAAGAGCUUCCACCUCUGCUCUCUAAAUGGCACCUGAGUAAGUGAGAUUUUUCUGCAAGCAGUGACUAACAGGGAGAUAGGAGAGGGGAUGUCUGACACUUGGAGGAGGCUUGGUGGUUCUGAGUACUGGAUAGAUAAAAGAAGGUGUUGGGUGGGUGGAGGGAGAGAGAAAAAACCAAGGCUAGUCAUCCACUGUGCUCACCAAUGAAAUUUUUUUAAUUUAAGUGUAAGUUACACAUGGUAAAGAAUCUGCCUGCAAUGCAGGAGACCUUGGUUUGAUUCUAUGUCGGGAAGAUCCACUGGAGAAGGGAUAGGCUAUCCACUGGAGAAGGGAUAGGCUACCCACUCCAAUAUUCUUGGGUUUCCCUUGUGGCUCAGCUGGUAAAGAAUCCACCUGCAAUGUGGGAGACCUGGGUUCAAUCUCUGGGCUGGGAAGAUCCCCUGGAGAAGGGAAAGGCUACCCCCUCCAGUACUCUGGCCUGGAGAAUUCUAUGGACUGUAUAGUCCAUGGGGUCGCAAAGAGUCGGACACAACUGAACGACUUUCACUUUCUUUCACUUUACAUAUGGUAAAUUGCACAAAUCUUAAGUGGACUUGAUGAAUUUUUACUACUUAGUACACCUGUAUAACUACUACCCAAAUCCAGAUAUAGAACAUGUCCAGUAUCCUGGAAGGCCCCUUAUACCCUCUCCCAGUCACUAUCUUUCCAAGGGCAUAUUAGGUACCUAUCACAGCAUAACAAAUGACCACAAACUUACAACAUCCAUUUGUGAUCUCGUGGUCUCUGUGGGUCAGGAAUGGACAUGGCUUCAUGGUCCUCUGCUCAAGGUCUCCCGCAGCUGCAAUCAGGGUGUCAAGUCAGGCUGCAUUUCCUCUCUGGAUCCCAGGGCUGUCUUCCAAGACCUCAUGGUUGUUGGCAGCCUUCAGCUCCUCGCAGCCAUAGGGCCGAGGUCCCUGUGUUCUUCCUGGCCAUCAGCUUUGGCUGCUUUUGCCACGUGGCCUCGCGCAGGCAGUUCACACCACAGAAGCUUGCUUCUUCCAGCCGGCAGGAGAAUCUCUCCUCCUAAGGCUUUCCCCUGAUUAAGUCUGGCCCACCCUUAAAAGGAACUCGACAUCCAACUGAUUUGGGACCUUAACCUCAUCCACAAAAGUCCUCCCCCUUUGUCAUAGUCUACUGGCUAAAAGCAAACCACUGGUCCCACCCACAAACGAGGGGAAAGGAUUGUACAGGAGUAAACCCCAGGGGUCAUCCUGGGGUCUGUCUGCCAAAGAUGGUAAUGACUGUUCUGACCUCUAUCAUCAUGAAGUAGAACUUUGCCUUAAUGGAAUCAGCAUCUCUUUGUGUCAGGCUCCUUUUACCCAACACUGUGUCUACGGUAUUUAUCCAUGUUGUUGCCUAUAUAAUAAUUUCUUUCUUUUCACUCUUACCAUAGUACCUUUUUCUCUGUUAACUUUUUAUUUUAUAUUGGAGUAUAGUUGAUUAACAACGCUGCGUUAGUUUCAGGUGUACAGCAAAGUGAGUCAGACAUAUGUAUAGAUAUAUUUUUUUCAAAUUCUUUCCCCACUUAGGUUGCUACAUAGUAUUGAACCAAGUUCAUCUGUGCUAUAUGGUAGGUCCUUCUUGUUGAUAUAUGUGUAUAUGGAAAUCCCAAACUCCCUUCUCCCUCUCUAUCCCUAACUCACUAUCCCUUCCUCCCACCCUUCCAGUCUGGUAACCAUAAGUUAGGUCUCUAAGUCCGUGAGUAUGUUUCCGUUUUGUAAAUAAGUUCAUUUGCAUAAUCCUUUUAGAGUCCUCAUAUAAGCUACACCGUGCGAUAUUUGUUUUUCCAACUCCCGUCUGGCUCUCUUCACUCAGUGUGACACUCUCGAGGCCCAUCCAUGUUGCUGCAGAUGGCAUUAUUUCCUUCUUCUUAAUGGUUGAGUCAUAGUCGUUUGUGUGCAUUUGUCCCACAUCUCGUUGCAUAAUAUUUCGUUACAUGACUGUACCAUGAUUUAUCCGCCCAAGUUCUGUUGAUGGGGCUAUUUCUGUCGUUCCCAGGUGUUUGCUCUUCACACAGAGCCACCAGCGUGUAGGAUUCUGGACUGGAUUCUAGAACAGUAGUAAAAGGACAUUAAUGGGAAAACUGGUAAAAAUCAGAUCUACGUCUGUAGUUUAAUAAUAUUGGACUAACAACAAUUUCUUAGUUUUGACAAAUGUGUCAUGGUUGCAUAUAAGAUGCUAACUCCAGGGGGAGUGGGUGAAGGAUAUGGAGGAGCUCUCUGUACUAUUUUGCAACCUUUCCAUGGAGCUAAAAUUAUUCCAAAAUAAAAAUUAUAUUUAAGAAGCAAACGAAUAACACUGCUAGCAAUCAUCUGCUACUGGCCAUGGUGGAGUAAUGGGUAUCAGCUAGCCCUCCCACCAUAAAUAUCUGUAAAACAGGAUCAAAUAUGUAGUUGUUGUCUAGUCGCUAAGUCAUGUCACUCUUGGGAUCCCAGGAACUGUGGCCCACCAGACUCCUCUGGCCAUGGGAUUCUCCAGGCAAGAAUACUGGAGUGGGUUGCCAUUUUCUUCUCCAGAGGAUCUUCCCCACCCAGAGAUCAAACAUGCAUCUCCUGCAUCGGCAGGCGAAUUAUUUACUGAUUAGCCACCUGGGAAGCCCUGGACCAAAUUUAUGAGGCUGCUAUUUUCAGGAAGUGCAAGGCUGAAAUCCCUGGGAGAAGGGAAACCUGUGAGCAAGAACAUAUUACUACUGUAAUGAGAAAGAGAAAAAAGAGGCUUGGACUUCUCUGGUAGUGCAGUGGAUAAGCAUCAGUUCAGGGACACAUGUUCCAUCCUUGAUCCUGGAAGAUCCCACGUGCGCCAGAGCAACUAACAAAGGCCACGGGCCACAACUAUUUGAGCCUGAGCUCUAGAACCCGUGCCACAACUACUGAAGCCCAUGCACCUAGAGCCCACGCACCGCAACCAAGAGUAGUCCCUGCUGUCUGCGGGGAAAAAAAAAGAGAUUUAGGAGGGAAGGGAUAUAUGUACACUUAUGACUGAUUUACACUGUUGUACAACAGAAACCAACACAACACUGUAAAGCAAUUGGCCUCCAAUUAAAAGUAAAUUUAAAAAUAAAGAGCAAAAAAAGAAAGUC